rnacentral:lncRNA from 1 species
CAAUAUUAAUUAUUCCAAUCCAUGAACACAGAGUAUCUUUUCAUUUAUUUGUGUCCUUUUCAAUUUCUUUCUUCAGUGCUUUACAAUUUUCAGCAUAGAGAUCUUUCACCUCCUUGGUUGACUUUAUUCCUAGGUAUAUAUUACCGCUGCCCUUCCACAAAUGGAAUCUUUUCAUUUUAACAGCCGGCCCAGAGCCCUUUCUGCAGAUCCAGUUGAGCUCUGUAAUUUCCAUGAGACCACAUGCUUCUUCUGAGACCCAUUCCUUUGCCAAAUGGGCACAGGAUCCUGUGGCCAGAGGGAAAAUUGGAAAUGUGUGGGCCAGGCAGAUACCCAUUUCUGAUAAGACUAGCAGCUUGAACAGCCUGAAUAAGACUUUCAAAAUCAGGCAAGGAAACUUCUGCACCACCAUCCCACCGUUCCUCUUCUGUGACCUCAGGCCUGGAUGUUGCCCGACAGCCCACCCACCACAGCACAUUCCACCUGAAGCCACGGGGACAUGGGAUCUUAGCUUCCCCUGGCUGCCUGGGAAAACCUGCUUUCGUGUCAUACCUGGGCAUUUCCACUUUCUCAGGGGCAGGAGGCUGCCAUGGUGGCAAUGUUGAUGGGCAGCCUCUUCCUCCCUCUCUUCCCGCUCCCCUGUAUGAAGGAUCUGGGUCUGCGUCUCACUGCCCUCCAGGAAGGCAGGCAGGAAAAUAAAGGUAAGUGCAGGCCUGAGAAGAAGUGAGGCAGCCAGUAAUGAAAAGGAAAAUCAGUUCUCCUUCAUGUUCCCCUUGGGUUUCCUUUCAUGGCAUUACUGAAAUCAGGGUCAAGAGGCCAUCUGGUUCCUAACCCAGAACAACCCACUCCAGAAGACUGUAGGGACCCGCGAGGGUGACCACGUGCUCUCCCUUGGUAACCCCCACUGGCAUUGUUGAGUCACUCUUUCCAACAGCCACCAAGCAGGCUCCCUUCUGUCCUCUGCAGAGGUGAACCCCUGCUGGGCAGGGCCCCUCUACACUCAAGCCUGGCUAAUAAAGGACCCCUAAACCCAGUGUGUGUGUGUGUGUGUGUGUGUGUGUGUGUGUGUGUGUGUGUGUGUGUUUUAACAGCUUUAUUGAGAUAUAAUUCACAUACCAUACAAUACACCCAUUUAAAGUGUACAUUCAAUGGCUUUUAGCAUAUUCACAGAAUUGUGCAACUACCACUACUAAUUCCAAACAUUUUCAUCACUCCAAAAAGAAUUUCCUCAGUCAUCCUUCCCCCAAUCCUCCCAAUUCCCAAGCCCCAGGCAAUCACUAAUCUACUUUCUGUCUCUGCAGUUAUCAAUUAUGAGUAUUUCACAUAAAUGGAAUUGUACAAUAUGUGUCCUUCAGAAGGCUGGCUUCUUUUACUUAGCCUAAUAUCUUCAAGCUUUACCCAUGUUGUAGCACAUAGCAGUUCUUCAUUCCUUUUUAUGACUGAAUAAUAUUCCAGUGUGUGGUUCUACCAGUCAAUUUAUCCAUUCAUCAU